AGAACCAUGGUCCACCAAAGCAACUAUUGGUUCUUCUAUAUCUCCUACCUUCACCAAUACCUCAGUAGUUGUCCUUGCCCAAUGCUUUCGAGUAUAAUGGCUCAAAGUUUCGAUUUCCUUGUCACUAGAAUCUUCGAAAUGUACUCGCUGAUUGUACCCAUUCUUUUCAUUUGUUGGUUGCUUGUAACCAAUAUCAACCUCUUCUUCAUCUCUAC
rnacentral:lncRNA from 1 species